UGCAUAUCAAUAAGCGGAGGAAAAGAAACUAACAAGGAUUCCCCUAGUAACGGCGAGUGAAGCGGGAAAAGCUCAAAUUUGUAAUCUGGCGCCUUGGGCGUCCGAGUUGUAAUCUCGAGAAGUAUUUUCCGCGCUGGACCGCACAUAAGUCUGUUGGAAUACAGCGUCAUAGUGGUGAGAACCCCGUAUAGGGUGCGGAUGCCCAGUGCUUUGUGAUAUACUUUCGAAGAGUCGAGUUGUUUGGGAAUGCAGCUCAAAUUGGGUGGUAAAUUCCAUCUAAAGCUAAAUAUUGGCGAGAGACCGAUAGCGAACAAGUACCGUGAGGGAAAGAUGAAAAGCACUUUGGAAAGAGAGUUAACAGUACGUGAAAUUGUUGGAAGGGAAACGCUUGAAGUCAGACUUGCAUUUUGGAGUUCAGCCGCAAGGUGUAUUCUUCAAUUCGCAGGCCAGCAUCAGUUUUUGGGGGUGGAAAAGCGCGGUUGGAAGGUAGCAGUCUUGGCUGUGUUAUAGCUUUCCGCUGGAUUCACUUUUGGGGACUGAGGAACGCAGUACGCUUUUUGCAAGAUUCUAGAGUCUUUCGUACUUAGGAUGCUGGUGGAAUGGCUUUAAACGACCCGUCUUGAAAGACGGACCA
rnacentral:rRNA from 1 species